GAUGAAGAACGCAGCGAAAUGCGAUAAGUAAUGUGAAUUGCAGAAUUCAGUGAAUCAUCGAAUCUUUGAACGCACAUUGCGCCCGCUAGUAUUCUGGCGGGCAUGCCUGUCCGAGCGUCAUUUCAACCCUCAAGCCCCCGGGCUUGGUGUUGGGGAUCGGCGAGCCUCCGCGCCCGCCGUCCCCUAAAUCUAGUGGCGGUCUCGCUGUAGCUUCCUCUGCGUAGUAGCACACCUCGCACUGGGAAACAGCGCGGCCACGCCGUUAACCCCCCAACUUCUGAACGUUUGACCUCGGAUCAGGUAGGAAUACCCGCUGAACUUAAGCAUAUCAAUAAGCGGAGGA
rnacentral:misc_RNA from 1 species